CCCCUUCCUCCUUGGAAAGAAUGACAAUAUCACCAUUACGAAGACCCUUACUUCGGACAAAUUGGAGCCAACCGGAAACAAGAACCAGUUUUGGGAUAACCCCAGGUUGUAUUUUGCAACCAAAGUUCCAUAAGAUUCCAGCAUCAUCCUCAACCUGCAACACCAUUACAUUGCACCCUUGGAACCGAGGUAAAGCAGCUUCGCAGCCAAUUGGAAAUGAUAAUCUUCUCUCAAUGUCAGGGGGUGCGAGAACUUUUGAAAAAAUUUGCAUACCUGAAUUUGAUUUCUUUGAGCUGCUCUACUGGUCAAUUUUACCUUACAGAGUAGCGAGAGAAGAUGAGAAUUGAGCACAAAUAUAUAGGGGUAGAAAAGCCUUGGAAGUUUGAAGCGCCAGCUCUGUCUAACCUGACAUGUGGUCGGGUGAAGAUUGAGGCUUUGGAUGUGUCUUUUUCUUAUUUUUCAAAGAAAGGUCUAUUGGUGGGGCCUAUGAAAAGAAAAAAAGAACUAAAGAUCCAGAGUGUACGAAAGUUUUCUUGCCAUUCAGAGUGUUUCUUUUGUCAGAAUGUCUGUCAUUUUCAACAUUUGUAACAAAAGCACACUUCAAACAACUUUGUUGCAGCGCGGAUUCUUCUGAAACUAUUAUACUAUCAUCAAUAGCAAUCAAUUGGACGAACGACAGAUUCACUUUGGUCUCGCGCGUCAGACCCUUCUUUCUUUCUUGAAUCUUGCAAAAUACUCAAACUCCGCCUGGUUCUUGUUUGUGGGCUAAAUUUUAUGAGCAUUGAAGCCAAUUCGGAACUAUGAAGGAGACUCCUGGUUUUGAUUAUAGCUAUGUAUAUAUCUUUAGUCACUGCUUUUACCAUUGCAAAGGUUGUUUCUGCCUGUAAAACAAGUUAAACACAACUUAUCCCAAAAAAAAAUCAAAUAUGGAAUCCUGUAAACACCACUAACUACUAAUUUUAAAUAAGGAAUGUACUAAUCCGGGCCCGUAAUCCCUAUAUUUUCUUUUUGUCACGACGAUUUGGUGAUGGGUUAUGGCUCAAAAUAUAGUAAUUAUUUCAAGUUUUACCUGCUAGGAUUAAACUUUUAUUUUUUUAGAAAGCCAUCAUAAAACAAGUAAAAAAAAAAGAGAUUUACAGCAAUUCGCUCUUAACGUAAUAAUUACGCUUAUUUUACAAUCAUUGCAAUAGUUUUCGACAAAAAGAGAUUAAAAGCACAAUAAUAAAUCUUUAAACCAAUGACUUUUUAAAUAUAAGUAUAAUUAGGACCACAUGGUUAUAUGUACGAAAAAAUUAAAAUACCAUUAAUAUUAAGUUAUAUUUACAAAAAACUUAAAAUACCAUUAAUAUUAUUACUUAAUGUGCGAAAAUUCUCAUAUUUACUUUGUUUAGAGACGAUUAAUGUCAAAAUAGUAAUUAAACUCCACACAACUUAAUAUUAUCAUAGGAAAACCAGAAUUCUUUUAAUAUGACACAAUUUUGAUAAAGGUGUCUUAGAAAUGCUAAAACUAACUUAAGGUGUUAGUUCUAGAAAGAAUCUUAAGCUCCUAACUUAGAACUUAGGAUUAUUAGUUUGUGACUAUGAAUGUUACAAUUAACAAUCUUAUUAGUAAUCCUCAUGCAUUUUUUUUCUAUAUAGGCAAUGGAAUUCGGACUUUAUUUAUUAAAUAAAAAAUCAUACAUUUUAUAUAAAUAUAUAAAAGUCAAAAUCUCUAAUAAAAAAAGAAAUAAUUUGAUGUGGAUAGUCUACAUUUUUUACAUGUGGAUAACAUAAAUAAUUGACAUGUAUUCAAAAUUAAUUAUGCAUUUCAAAUUUUAAAUUUGGAAUUUACUAUAAAAUAAAUUUAAUUUAAAAUAUCUUAUUUCCAUUAUUAUAGAAUACAUUCAAUGAUUCUUAUUGAUAUUUAUUUUUAAAUAAUUAAUUGACUAAAACAAAUUAAGAACUAAAUCAAUAGUAAUUGUAUCUUAAAUCAAAAGUAAUUUAUGCUUGAUAAGUAGAAUAGUCAAAUAUAAUGUGUAUUUAAUACAUUUGAGAGAAAAGAAAAAAGAGAUUUUAAAAUUAAUGUAAUAAUGAUAAUAAAAUUAAAUUUUGAUUAAAUGCUAACUUUUAUACAUUCCAUAAAUUAUUCUCGUUACUUUCAUUUUUAGUUUUUAGUCAAAUUAUUAUAAUAAAUAUUAAAUACCUUAAACACCUUAUUAAUCUUAUAUCUUAUCUUAUAUAAACUAGUUUUAAACCCAUGUAAUGCACGAAAAUAUAUCCAUAUAUCAAUAAAUGUUAUAUAAAUAUAAAUUUUUAUAAAUGAUAAUAUAAUUUAUGAAGUUUAAGAACUACUUGUCUUAAGAUUAUACCGAGUCGCCUUCAUCUCAAACAUACAAAUUUUACCCCUAAGAUCUUCAAAUAUCUCCUGAAUUUUAUAAUCUCCAUUUUCUUAAAUCAUAAGUAUAAAUAUAUCAUUCAAUUAAUUUAAAUAUUAAAUAAUAUUAAAAUAAUUUUUAAUUUAAUAUCUUAAUAGAUAUUAAAGAUCAUCAAUAUCUUUAUUAAUUAAAUCUUUAGCUUUUGUAUUGAACAGUACGAACAUCGCCCUUUUAGAAUUAUUAUAUGCCUCGAUAUUCAACUUAUACAUUUAAAAAAUAUAAAAUUCUAUAAUUAUGAAUAUAAUAUAAUAAUUUAAAAUACUUUUAUUAUUAUCUUGAAAUAAUAAUUUGUUUAUGUAUCAAACAUAAAAAAUAUACAUACUAAUUACCUUGAAAUUGGAUUAGAGAUAUCAACAUUACAGGAAUAACAUUGAAAUUUUCCAUCAACUUCAUAUAGCUUCUUGUUACAACCACGUGACAUAUAAUAUCAAUCAAAAGUGGUAUCAACUUUCAUGAUAGUUACUCUAUUGGUGAAAGAUUUUCCCUAUAUAUAUCCAAUUCUAAAAUAAUCAAUAAAAAUUAUAUACAUGUAAAAUCAAUCAUUUUUAAAGUUAUUUUGCUCCAUAAGAAAUAAAGUUACUCAAAUACCUUGCACAUUGGCUUUGUGAUUAUUGCUUUAAUCUCUGACAAGGGCUUUCUAUUUCUAAACAUUAAAAUCUCAUCUGUUGGUACUCUUUUGUGCAAUGUGUUUAUGCAAUGUGCGAUAAAGUUCUACACUAGAAUCUUCCUCAGACAAACUAAAUACUAGAAAGAGUAAAAUAAAAUAGUAAUUUGUCAUAAAAACAUUAAAUUACAGAGAAAUUGUAUGAGGUAUUAUACCUUUGUAAAAUUAUUGAGACUUUAGGAAUAUCUAGAAUGAUGUAAAUCUUUGUUCCAUUCGUAAUUAAAGAAAUAUAAAAUAUAAAUAUAAAAAUAUAAGUAUAAAAAAAAAAUAACCUUUAAACAACACAAACCAAGAAAUGAGGGAAGGUGAUCUCAAAGAAAACUGUAAAGGAAAAAGAUACAAAGUGAUAAAGGUAAUCAUUCAAAUUAAAACUGUAAAUAAAUAUAAAAUAUAAAAACUAAAAACUAAUAUCAUAGUUAAAGAAAUAUAAAAUAUAAGUAUAAAAAGAGAAUAACCUUUAAGUAGCACGGACCAAUAAAUGACACAAGGUGAUGUCAAAGAAAACUGUAAAGAAAAAAGAUACAAAGUGAUAAAGGUAAUCAUUUAAAUUAAAACUGUAAGGAAAUUGUAAACAUUCAAAUUAAGUUUUCAUUUUCAUUACAUGAUAAAGGUAAAAAAUAAAAACUAAUCAAAGCAUUCCUAAUUUGAAAUAUAAAUUAUUAAAAAAAUACUAAGUGAAAUGGGUGUUUGGAGCUUUACCUAGAUGCAAAGCCAAUGAAAUUGGAGAACAACCUUUCGUGUACUUUAUCAUAUGAUGAUACCCUAUUUAUAGUAGAUUUUUUUUUUUGGUAGAACAUAAUCAAUAGAAAAGCUAUAUAUAAGUCUUAAUUGCAAAUUAAUUUAGGCAUAACUUACAUAAAAAAAAAAAUUUAGGCGUAAGUCAUGCAAACCAAUUAUAAUGAGUGCCUUUUGAAAAAAAUACCAACUUGUUUAUGCUUUUGUUUUGGAAAAUCCAUACUUCACUUUCCAUAAGUCAAGAUUUGAAAUUUUAACCAUAUGGGAAAAUAUUAACCAUUAAUGAGGUUUUUUUUUAGGGAUUAGUCAAGAUAUUUUUUAUGAGAAAUACUUUGAAUAAUUACAUUAUAAAAAUUUAUGACGGAAUUAUUGAAGGAGUUUUUGGCCAAUAACUUCAUUAAAAAAAUUUUCAAGAUUAUUGAAAAUGUUUUUGUCUAAAAACGCCUUGAGUAAUCAACUCAUAAAAAUUUAUAAGAAGAUUAUUAAAUACGUUUUUAGCCAAAAAUACAUUCAAUAACCCUAUUAAAAUUUUUUUUUUGGAUUAUUAAAGGCAUUUUUAGUGAAAAAUACUUUGAGUAAUCAUGUUAUAAAAAUUUAUGAGAGGAUUAUUAAAGGCGUUUUUGACCAAAAAUGUUUUCAAUAACCCUAUUAAAAAAAAUUUUUCAGGAUUAUUUAAGAUAUUUUUAGUCAAAAACACUUUGAAUAAUCACAUUUUAAAAAUUUAUGAAGGGAUUACUAAAGGUGUUUUUAGUCAGAAAUGCCUUAAAUAACCAUAUUUUAAAAAAAAUUUCGAGCUUAUUCAAGGUAUUUUUAGCAAAAAAUAUCUUGAGUAAUCACGUCAUAAAAAUUUAUGAGAAGAUUAUUGAAGAUAUUUUUUUACUAGAAACGCUUUCAAUAACGGCAUUAAAAAAUUUUUUGCGGGAUUAUUUAAGGCAUUUAUGGUUAAUAUUGCCUUUAACAACCCUAUAAAAAAAUUUUAAGAUUAUUUAAGACAUUUUUGGUGAAAAACACAUUGAGUAAUUACAUCAUAAAAAUUUAUUAAGAAAUUAUUGAAUGUGUUUUUUGUCAGAAACGCCUUCAAUAACACCAUUAAAAAAAAAUUUUGAGAUUAUUAAAGGCAUUUUUAGCUAAAACGUUUUUAAUAAUCCUCUUCAUUUUUAGACAUGUUUUUCAAAAUAAUAACGACUAUUUCAGGCCUUUUUAUUCAGGUUAAAUUUGAAAAUAAUGUUACUUUCUCCCACAAAAUCCUAGAAUACCAUAGGGAGAGGUGGGCUUUUUAUUUCAGGACUUUGGAUGCUAUUGGAAAUUUAUAAGAUUUUUUCAAAAUCAAAUGACCAUGAACCAAACAUUGAAAUUAAAUACCAACAAUAAGAUUUCAGAAAAAAAAUGUGUGGAUUCUCCUGAAUCAAAUGUUCCUUUAUAGUAAAUUAAUGCGCCCAUCAGAUCAUAAAUAUCAAUUAGAAGAUAUGAAAAAAUAUUAACCAUUAAUGAGCUUUCUUCUUAAAUUUUAAUUUUUUGUAUUAAUGAUCAAAUUAAUCAUAAUUCACUCAUAAAAGGCAAGGACAUUAGAUAUUCAAAACAAAUAAAUUUAAUUAAAAUAAAUUACGUUUAAAUUAAAAAUGUAUUAAAUUAAAUCAAAUGCAUUAAUUAGUGGACACAUGGCUUUAACAUAGACCAUCCAAAUGUCAAAAAAGUAGAUUAUACACAUAUGAUUUUUUUCAUUUUUGCCAAAAGCUUUGGCUUUUAUAUAUCUUAUCUAUAUAAGAUAUAUAAAAAUCAAAACCUUUCACAAAAAAAAAAAAAAAUUCAAUGUGAAUGUUUUAUUUUUUACACGUGUAUAAUCAUGAAUAAAUGCCAUGUGUCAUCUAAUAAAUACAUUUUAUUUUAUUUUUAUUUUUUAAAAAAUCAAUAUGCUUAAUUUAAUUUGAUUCAUUUGUAAUGUAAAAAAAGUAAAUUUAUUUAAUUUAAAUUAUUACAUUUAUUCUCUUUUAAAUAUUCAUUUCUCUUACCUUAUGAAAAUAAGUUUCAAUUAAAUUUGUAAUCAAAGUUAAUUUUUUUUUUACCUUAAAUCACUCUCAAUUAAAUUUUAUUCUUAAUUUUUAUACCAACUUCAACAUCAUAUAUAAGAAUAUGCUUUUGUCCAUUAAAGAUAAUGGUAUUGGACAUUUUUUCUAUAAUUCUAUUAUGUUCCAUUUCUCUUUUUUUUUUUUUUUAUUUGUUCCAUUGAUAUGUUUCUUUUUCUUCCAUUUGUUUUAUUUCUCUUUAUUUCAAAGUGUGAUUUCUUUUAUUUUUUAAUAUUAAAAUUCACUUUUUAGCAAAAAAUAAAAAAAAAUCUACUUUUACUUUUUGGAACAAUAUUAAUAUAAUAUACAAAUAUGUUGAUAUGCCUUAAAAAUUAAUAUAAGCAUUUCAUACAUAAUAUAAAAUGGCUUGCUUAUUUUAUCUUUAUAUUAAUUUUUAGUUUAUUUUUUAAUGAAAUAAUUUCUAAUUUUUAUAUGUAAAUGUAUAUACGUAUGCUAUGUGAUUAACAUUGACUACAAAGUUUUACUAGCUUUUCUAAUUGGUAAUAAGUUGUUACUAGGAAUAUGUCUAAUCUCAAAUAACAUAGUGAAUGAUUACUGCCACGAAGAAAAUAGGAUAUGGUACGCAAAGGAUUGUCCAAACAAAUAUGGAUGGCUUACACUAAUUACUUUGCAUGGGAUUCACAAUUUCUAAAUUUCAAUUAUUCCAAGACCAAAUAAAAUUCAAUUAUCUUAUAUAUAUAAAUGAAAACUAAAUUUUAAUAUGUUAUCUAAACUAUAAAUGUAUUGAUUUCUUAUAUAUUAUUAUAUGUAAUAAGAAUUAUGAAAAUUGAUUUGCCUGGUUAUUUCUUUUGAAAAUUCAAAACGAAAUUGAAGUUCAUAUUAAUCAUUUUACGAAAAAUCUCCAUCAAUUACAUCUAACUAAAUUAAUUGGUGUCUUUUAAGUUUGAAAAAUGCAUUAGAAAUGUGUUGGCAUUCAUUAGAGUAAAUUGAACAAUAGAGAUAAUAAAUUAUUACAUUACUAGAUAUUUGUUAUUUACCCAUCAAUAGGCCUUGAAAGUAUGGAAUAAAUGGAUCCAAUAAUAAGAAAUUGUAUUAAUAAGUACAAAGUUUUUAAGAGUAAAUUUAUUUUUUAAAAGUUAAAGUAAAAAUCAAGUUUCCAAAUAAUGUUAGUAUUGAUAAAUCAAGUGCUAUUGACAAAACAAAGUCAAAUGAAGAUUUAAACCUCUCAAGAGAUUAAGAGUUAAGAAUUAAUUUAUCUGAAUUAUUUAUACAGUAAAUAUAAUAUUACAAUCAUUUCCUUAUGAAUAGUCACUGUUUUCGCCUUUUAUGAAUAAGUUACAAUUCAAUUUGUAAUUAAAAUUUAAUUUUUCAUUAUUAUUUACCUUAAGUUACUCAAAAUCAAAUUCCAUUAUUGAAUAGGAGUUUGCUUUGACGUAUUACUAUUUAAUAAUUAAUACUAUAAAAAUUUUAAAUUUAAAUUAUUAUCGGAAGAACAAAUUUCAGUUUUAUAUAUUGUCUUUCUAAUAUUACAAUACUACAUUAAAUGAAAUAUUUCUUUUCUAUCUCAUGAUAAAAGAAUUUGUGUUGCUUCCAAUUAAUUAAUUCAUAUAAAAAACAUACAUUACAAAAUUAUUAUUAAUCAACUAUUGACAUUCGAACAAAAACUUAUAAAAUUUGAAAAUUAUGUAGUCAUUAAAUUAAUAAUUCUAUACUUCUAUAAAAAAUUUAUUAAUUUCAUUAUCUUAUUUAGAUAAAUUUUAUCCUACAUUAAAUUAAUGCUACAUACUCUUGAUUUAAUUUUUAUAUUAUCUGAUAUUUUAUAUUUAUAAUCUAAUCUCAAAUAUAAUCUUAAAAUAUAUGUAAAUAUCAACAGAACAAAGUGGUCUGUACAAGUACAAAAUAAAUGUGCUUCUAAUAAAAUCUUUUAUUUUUAUUAUUUAAUGGUUAAUUGACAAAAAUAAAUAUUAAUGGAUUGACUAUAAUCAAAUUAUUAUAUUUUUUUAACACAUAAAAACAAAAAAUUAAACUUAAUUUUAACAUAUAUUUUUUAAAUUAUAAAUUCUCUUAAUAUUUUUGUUUGGUUGAUGAAUUUAUAAAAAUUAAAAUAACUUAUUUUAAAAUGAUUAAUUAUCCAAUCAUAAAUUAAUAUUAUAUUUUUAUAUGCUUUAUCACAUAUUUUACACUAAAAUCCAAAUCUCUUCUUUUAGUUCUAAGUUACAAAGCCUAAUAUAUAGUUUGUUGAAAAAAUAAAGACAAUAUAUGCUUUCCAAUUUUAAAUGAAAUUUUGUAUAGAGAUUUUCUAUAUUUUAAUUUUAGAUUGAAAUAAAUACAAUAACAACAUAUAAAGUUAGUUAAAAGAUAUUAUCAUAUUAAAUUUAAUUAAUUAAAAUAAAUUCAUAAAAAAAAAUCUUUUGUAUUUCACUAUUUACAAACUAAUCAAUUAUUGAAUCAAACAUUCGGGUGAAAAAAUAUGUAAGUCCAAAAAAUGCUAGAAACUGGAAGAAUGGACCACUAACAUCUAAGGUGACCCAAAAAAUAAUGACUGAUAACCCAUCUUUUUUUCUUUAAUCCUCUUAUUGGGUUCUUAUGUCCAAAUAUAAAUGAAUAACAAGCCCAAUUUGAGAUCAGAAAGCCACCUACUAGGCAGAAAUUCUUUUGGAGUUUGUAAGUCCAAGAAAAAAGGCCGCCGUCGCAGCUACCACUUCAUCUUCUUCAGUGACGGAGGAGGAGCUGACACUGACAGUAAAAUGGAGUGGAAAAGAGUAAACGGUUCGAGCUGUGGCGAUGACUCAGUGACCGAGUUGAAACGAAGAAUCUGGAAACUCACCAAUAAAUACUCGUCCAUUUAUUAAAAACCCAUUGAAAAUGCCAGUCUCACAAAAAUAAGAAAGAAUUCAACAAUUUUCAUUCAGAAAUAUAUCAGAAUAGAAACUGGAACUGGGUUUCUCCAGAAUAUUGAUAUUAAGAAUGACUAUGAAGUUAUUAUGGAAAUUUAGAUACCCUCAACACCUGAACCGUAAUGGCUUUCAGCAAUUGAUGAAAUUACUAGCUAAAAUCAUUUAGGAACUUCCAAAAUUGCCUUUGAAUAUAUAUAUAUAUAUAUAUAUAUAUAUAUAAAUAAGAGUGGCUUUAUGAUAUGAAAGUUAAUAAAUAAUUCUUAUACAAAUUUAGUCCUUAAAUUACAUUCUAUAUUAUAAAAAUAAAAAAUAUUGGGUAAAGGGUUUGUACAUUAUGUGUAUUAUCUUAACAAAAAUAUUUGGAAAGCUAUAAAAUCUUUGCGAUGUGGUAGAUCAACAACGUUACAAAUUCUCCACGUUUUGUGAUCUGCAUUUGCAGUAGAUUUCUUGGCAGACUCUUUCUCUUGGUAUUACCUUGCAUCAAUGACGAAAGAAAACAUUUCCUAGCCUAUUGCUAGUAAAGUGAGUAAAAGAUAAGGAACCAAUUAUGACUAAAGCAACCUCUUAAACCUUACCUGAGAAUUUUCCUUAACUGAACUGAACUAACAAAUCCCAAAUCAUCUAGUUUUGAUUUGUUGAAUUUCCUUGAAUUCCAAGAUUGCAAGUAUAACUAAUUUCUCUACGAUCAAAGACCUGAGAUCCUGUAAUCAGGGCAGACGACAAAGAAUCAUAAGGACAAACAUGAAUCUUAUUAUCCCAAGAAAAUAAUUGUAAUCUUUAGCAUUCAGGCAAACUAGCUUCUAAUAUGCUUGUUAAAAAUAGGAAGAAGGGCUAAACUUUGAACUGGAUAUGCACAGUACUAACUACUAACAGCCUUCAUAUCUCAAUAUGCUGUAAGCACAAAGUAUCAUUCUGUAUGAAUUCUAUUGGAAUCACCCAAAACUUGGACAUGAUUUUCAUAUGAUUCAAGAGUGUAAUGACUGGAAAAUAAAACUUUACCUGGUCUGUGAGAAAUACUGAAUGACAUACCAUGAUGAAUUGUUGAUUCCCAAAAAGAGGCUUGUGUAACAGAGUUCACCCCGAACUAGUUCCAUUAUUCAUAUUAUUUUAUGAGUUUGGCCCAACUACACUCAUUGAAAUUCCUUAGAUGAGAAAAGAGAUGUGAAUAGCUCUUGAAUUGACAUAAUUAUUGGGAAAUCUAGGUGCAACAAUCAUACUAGAAAAUGCCAAAGUUGCAUCAUUAAAGGGACUACAUGGAUGCUCACAAGGGCAGCAUUCAUCUAAGUUUUAAAAUACCAAGGAAUGUAGUUACAAAAUAGAGACAGGGAAAGAACAUAAAUGCAAGCAUGCCCAUGACUUACAGGGAAAAGCCAGUUCAAAUAAACUAAAAUUAAUAGAAGCCAAAUGAAAUAAGUUCAAUGAACUAGGUAUAAAAGAGCUCACUAAAAUAAAAUGUGUCUCUAAUUUUUCAUCCACACCUUUUUCUAUCAUCUAUAUUCUUGAAAGUUCACAUGGCAUGUCGCUUGUGCAUGCUCCAUAGGGUCCUAAAGAUUCGCAUAAAGGUAACUUAUGUGAGAAGCAUGGUAUUAAAAUAAAUCAAGCAGGAUAAAAACAUAGAGAAACUAUGAAGCUACCAUGAGCUGUAGAAAUUGAAAAUGACCUUCUGGCCGACUAUUCCAAUUUGGCACAUGCACAACGCAAAGUGAAGUUGGCAGUGUCAAUGUAUCUCCUCUUCCUGAAAAAUAAGCAGAUGAAAUUAUACAAAAUCAAUUGAGGUCAAAAACCUAUUGCUCAAUCAAGAGAUGCCCAAGCAAACUUGUUUUGCAAAUAAAUAAAGAAUGAAACCAAAGAGGCGGUCAUCUGACCGAAGUUUUUUCCUUGGUAGAUAUCAAUUAAAAAGGUGAUAAGACCAAAUGGGAACUAAAGCUACAGAUUUAUUUGUUAGCUCAGUUUCCUAUAUAUAGACAUGUAAAACCUAAGCUGGUUGAUGUCAAACCUAAAGUAUAUAUAUUAUAUAUAAUGAAUGCAAUAUAUAUAUAUAUAUAUAUAUAUUACAUAAUAUAAGAAAAAAGAGUGCAAGUUAUAAUAUAAUAUAAACCUAAAGCAAAAUCAUGUUUUAGCAGAGCUUGGAGGUGAUCCAAAAAUCUUCACGCUUCACCACACCAUCUUCCAACAGCUUCUUCAGAACAGAACCAAUCUGCAUAAACCAAGUUAUUGAACAUGAGUAAAUCAUCAAAGUAGGGCAUCAAAUCAGGUAUGUCCAAAUGUAAUACAAAUUUAAGAUGAAAUAGGAGCUGAACUUCAGUCACUGAAAGUAAAAAAAACAAAUAAAUUAUAAAUUUAAUUUGUUUCAUGCAAUUACCUCUUUCUUGUUCUCAUAGACUUGAGCACAAUCAGUAUGCCGGCAUCCAUAAUGCAUGAAAACAGAGCAAAUGUUACACAAACGAUGGUGACAGUAACAAAUGGCGGUGAGAUGACAAUCGUGGGAGUGAAAAGUGAAAAUUAGGGUUUGAUUUUCAACAAUUAGGGGAAAAUGAAAAGAUUAAAUAUGAUUUAAGAAAGAGAUUUUGAUUGGAGAAAGAGACUUUGAUCUUAAUAAGAUUUUGAUUUUGAAAGAGUAAAAACAUGAAUUUUACAAUUCUGGAAAACGAAAAAAAGCAAAAGAGAUAUGAAAGAAGUACUAGAAAAAUUUAUAUGAGAAAGAAGAGAAAAUUUUUCUUAUCAUCGGAGCUAAAGUGCCCUUAAAACUUAGUCAAUUGAGCCCUUCAUUUUGUCACGAAAAACCAAAUAAAUAGAAAAUGCGUGAUUCAACCUCAAGCAAAAAAUUCUUAAAAAAUACAUAUUCUGUAUGCAUACGAAUUAGUUGAAAGAGGCACAAAAUUGGGUUUAAAACCUAAUUUUUAGCGACGAAAGUUAUGGAAUUUUAGAGAAAGAAGUGAAGAAAGUCUUGGUUUUUACUUUAAACCGACUGAUGAUGUGAGAAGAACAUCAAGAGAUUUUAAAAUAAUGGAGUGACAAGUAAAUGUUAAAUAAAUAGAGACAAAUGAUAUUAUUUGCAAAGGCAAACAUGCUUUUGUCCCUAAAAAUUACAUUUUAGAGGCAAAAGUUUUAUUUGUCUCUAAUAAUUUGUGUUGCAGUGAGGAGUACAAAUCAAAAAGGCUAGUUUGAGCCCAAGUUUCUUUGUCUAUUUACAGAACUUAAGGUAUCACUCCUCUUCACUUGAAUUUUGUAGUGUGCCCCUUCCUCCUUGGAAAGAUUGACAAUAUCACCAUUACGAAGACCCUUACUUCGGACAAAUUGGAUCCAACCGGAAACAAGAACCAGUUUUGGGAUAACCCCAGGUUGCAUUUUGCAACCAAAGUUCCAUAAGAUUCCAGCAUCAUCCUCAACCUGCAACACCAUUACAUGGCACCCUUGGGACCGAGGUAAAGCAGCUUCGCUGCCAAUUGGAAAUGAUAAUCUUCUCUCAACGUCAGGGGUUGUGAGAACUUUUGAAAAAUUUUGCAUACCUGAAUUUGAUUUCUUUGAGCUGCUCUACUGGUCAAUUUUUACUUACAGAGUAGCGAGAGAAGAUGAGAAUUAAGCACAAAUAUAUAGGGGUAGAAAAGCCAUGAAAGUUUGAAGCGCGAGCUCUGGCUAACCGGACAUGUGGUCGCGUGAGAUUGAGACUUUGGAUGUGUCUUUUUCUUACUUUUUCAAAGAAAGGUUACUCUACUGGUGGGGCCUAUGAAAAGAAAAAAAGAAUUAAAGAUCUAGAGGGUAUAAAAGUUUUCUUGCCAUUCGGAGUGUUUAAAUUGUUACAUGAUCUUUCCAUUUGUCAGAAUGUCCGCCAUUGUCAACAUUUGUAACAAAAGCACACUUCAAGCAACUUUGUUGCAACGCAUAUUCUUCUGAAACGAUUAUGCUAUCAUCAAUAGCAAUCAAUUGGCUGAACAACAGAUUCACUAGGUCUCGCGCGUCAGACCCCUCUUUCUUUCUUGAAUCUUGCAAAAUACCCAAACUCCACCUGGUUUUUGUUUGUGGGCUAAAUUUUAUGGCAUUGAAGUCAAUUCGGAACUACGAAGGAGACUCCUGGUUUUGAUUAUAGCAAUGUAUAUAUCAUUAGUCACUGGUUUAACUACUGGAAAGGUUGUUGUUUCUGCCUGUAAAACAAGGAAAACAUCAUUUCUCCAAAAGAAAAAAGUACUAUCAAAUAAGGAAUCCUAUAAACGCCACCAUAGUAAGGAACGUACUAAUCCAGUCGUGUAAUCACUAUAUUUCUUUGUUACGACUAUUUGGUGAUGGGUUAUGGCUUAAAAUUAGUGAUUCAGUGAUUCACUCUUAACGUGAUAGUCAUGCUUAUUUUACAAUUAUUAUAGAAUUUUUCAAUAAAGAAAGAUUACAAGCACAAUAAAAAAUCUUUAAACUAACGACUUUUUAAAUACAAGUAUAAUUAGGAUCAUUAAAAAUUUAUUUGGAUAAAUGAUAAAAUUAAUUUAAAUAAAAUUAAAAAUAAUUAUUAUUAUCGUAAUUAUGAUUAAAAUAAAUUAUUGUAAUUACGAUUAAAUAAAAUUUAAAUAAUUUUAUACUAAAUGGAUCUUACUAUAAUUGAUAUUUAAAUUUAAUUAUAUCAUUAAUAUUAUUACUUAAUGUGCAAAAAUUUUCAUAUUUACUCUAUAUACAGAUAAUUAAUGUCAAAAUAGUAAUUAAAUUUCACGCAACUUAAUAUUACCAUACGAAAAUCAUAAUUCUUUUAAUAUGAUACGAUUUUGAUAAAGGUGUCUUAGAAAUACUAAAACUAACUCAAGAUGAUAGUUAUAGAAAGAAUUCUUAAGUUCCUGGUUUAGUAUUUGGGACUAGUAGUUUGUGACUGUGAAUGUUACAGCUUACAAUCUUAUUAGUAAUCCUCAUGUUUUUUUUUUUUUUUUAAUUUUGGGAAAUGGGAUUCGGACUUUAUUUAAAAACAAAAAAAACUCAUAUACAUCAAUUAUUAAAUUAAAAUUUUGGGUGGGAAAAAAAUAAAAGCCCAAAAAAGCUAGAAAUGGAAGAAUGGGCCACUAACAGCUAAGGUGACUAAAAAAUAAUUAACCGUUGACCCAACCCUUUUUCAAAUGCACUUCCAAAAUGAAAGUAUGGGGUAAUAAGUCUACGAAGCUUAGGGAAAAUAGAAUUGAAGAAAAUAAAAUGUUAAAGAUAAAGUCUAAUAUUUAAAAAAAAAAAUAGACAUAUGAUUUUUCGUUCAGAAAAUACUUCGUAAGAUUUUUAACUUAAUUACUUUAAAUAAUAUAUUUUAAAUUAUUUAUUCAUUCUUUUAGAACUUCGAACUUUUACUUUACAUAUUUUAAAAUUUUUAUUUUGAUUAAAUAUGAACACUUGAAUUAACGAGUUAUGUCUUUAAAAUUUUAUAUUUUGAUAAGAUUUUAUCAAGUUUUUUAUUAUUAAAAAAUAUAACCCUAAGUUAAAAAUAAAAAAAAAAUGACAAUUUAAAGUUAUAAUCAGUUAUCAUACUUAAAAAAAUUUUAAAGUUUUAAAAUUUUAUCCAAAAUAAAAAGUUACAGUGUAAAAUUUUUAAAAAAUCAAUACACAUUAAAGAUUUUACGUUUCACCGAAAUAUGAAAAUAAAAAUCAACCCUGUUUUUCUUUCCAAAUCUUCCUCAAAAAAUAUUAAUUAGUUUUGAUACGCCUUAAAGUGUCAUGGCUUCUUAUGUCCAAAGAUACAAUUAAUAAAAUGCUUUUCGAGACGGUGAAAUCAGAAAGCCACCUACUAGAGCUGAGAUUCUUUUGCCGUUUGCACUUAAUAAAAAAAAAAAGGCCGCUGUCGCAGCUACCAGUUCAUCUUCUUCAGUGACAGAGGAGGAGCUGACACUGACAGUAAAAUGGAGUGGAAAAGAGUAAAUGGUUAGAGUCGUGGCGAUGACUCAGUGGCCGAGUUGAAACGAAGAAUCUGGAAACUCACCAACGUUUUACCCAAAAGACAGAAGUUUCCUUACUCUAAAACGGCAAUAAAUACUAGUCCAUUUAUUAAAACCAUUGAAAAUCCCAAUCUCCCAAAAAUAAGUAAGAAUUCUAUAAUUUUCAUUCAGAAAUAUAUCAGAAUAGAAACUGGAACUGGGCUUCUUCAGAAUAUUGAUAUUAAGAAUGACUAUGAUUUAGAAUUAGAGAUAACUAAAUUUGUUCCUAAAUUUAGAUAUUGAGGCAAAAAAAUUUGCCAAUGAUACUAUAAAUAGCAACAAUUGAUGAAAGUACUAGCUAAAAUCAUUUAGGAACUUCCCAAAUUGCCUUUGGAUAUAUUAUUUUGUUUUUAAAAAAAUGGUGGAUUUAUCAUAUGAAAGGUAAUAAAUAAUUCUUAUACAAAUUUAGUACUUAAAUUACAUUCUAUAUUAUAAAAAUAAAAAAUAUUGGAUAAAAGGUUUGUACAUAUUGUAUUAUCUUACAAAAGAAUCUUUGAAAAGCUAUAAAAUCUUUGUAAGAGUAAAUCAACAACGUUAUAAAUUCUCCACGUUUUGUGAUCUUCAUUUGCAGUAGAUUUCUUGGCAGACUCUUUCUCUUGGUAUUACCCUGCAUCAAUGAUGAAAGAAAAUAUUUCCUAGCCUAUUGCUAGUAAAGUCAGCAAAAGACAAGGAACCAAAUAUGACUAAAGCAACCUCUUAAACCUUGCCUGAGAAUUUUCCUUAACUGGACUGAACUAACAAAUCCCAAAUCAUCUAGUUUUGAUCUGUUGAAUUUCCUUGAAUUCCAAGAUUGGAAGUAUAACUAAUUUCUAUACGUUCAAAGACCUGAGAGCCUGUAAUCAGGGCAGAUGACAAAGAAUCAUAAGGACAAAUAUGAAUCUUAUUAUCCCAAGUAAUUGUAAUUUUUAGCAUUUAGGCAAACUAGCUUCUAAUAUGCUUGUAAAAAAUAGGAAGAAGGGCUAAACUUUGAACUGGAUAUACACAAUACUAACUACUAACAGCCUUCAUAUCUCAAUAUGUUGUAAGCACGAAGUAUCAUUCUGUAUGAAUUCUCUUGGAAUCACCCAAAACUUGGACAUGAUUUACAUAUGAUUCAAGAGUGUAAUGACUGGAAAAUAAAACUCUACCUGGUCUGGUAGAAAUACUGAAAGACAUACCAUGAUGAAUUGUUGAUUCCCAAAAAGAGGCUUGCAUAACAGAGUUCAGCCCGAACUAGUUCCAUUAUCCAUAUUAUUUGAUGAGUUUGGCCCAACUACACUCAUUGAAAUUCCUUAGAUGAGAAAAGAGAUGUGAAUAGCUCUUGAAUUGACAUAAUUAUUGGAAAAUCUAGGUGCAACAAUCAUACUAGAAAAUGCCAAAGUUGCAUUAUUAGAGGGACUACAUGGAUGCUCAUAAGGACAGCAUUCAUCUAAGUUUGAAAAUACUAAGGAAUGUAGUUACAAAAUAGAGACAGGGAAAGAGCAUAAAUGCAAGCAUGCCCAUGAAUUACAGCGAAAAGCCAAUUCAAAUAAACUAAAAUUAAUAGAAACCAAAUGAAAUAAGUUCAAUGAACUAGGUAUGAAAGAGCUUACUAAUAUAAAAUGCAUCUCUAAUUUUUCUGCCUAAACUUUUUUCUAUCAUCUAUAUUCUUGAAAGUUCACAUGGCAUGUUGCUAACGCAUGCUCCAUAGCGUUCUAAAGAUUCACAUAGAGGUAACUUAUGUGAGAAGCAUGGUAUUAAAUAAAUCAAGCAGGAUAAAAACAUAGAGAAACUAUGAAGCUACCAUGAGCUGUAGAAAUGAAAAAUGACCUUCUGGCCGACCAUUCCAAUUUGGCACAUGCACAACGCAAAGUGAAGUUGGCAGUGUCAGUGUAUCUCCUCUUCCUGAAAAAUAAGCAGAUGAAAUUAUACAAAAUCAAUUGAGGUCAAAAACUUAUUGCUCAAUCAAGAGAUGCCCAAGCAAACUAGUGUUGCAAAGAAAUAAAGAAUGAAACCGCAGAGGCGGUCAUCUGACUGAAGUUUUUUCCUUAGUAGAUAUCAAUUAAAAAGGUAAAAAGGCAAAAUGGGAACUAAGCUACAGAUUUAUUUGUUAGCUCUGUUUCCUAUAUAUAGACAUGUCAAACCUAAAGCACAUAAAUUAUAUACUUUACAUAUAUAUAUAUAUAUAUAUUAUAUAAUGGAAGAAAAAAGAGAGCAAAAUUAUAAUAUACUAUGAACCUAAAGCAAAAUCAUGGUUUAGCAGACCUUGGAGGUGAUCCAAAGAUCUUCACACACUUCAACACACCAUCUUCCAACAGCUUCUUCAGAACACAACCAAUCCGCAUAAACCAAGUUAUUGAAAAUGAAUCAAUCAUCAAAAUUAGGGCAUCAAAUUGGGUAUGUGCAACUUUAAUACUAAUUUAAGAUGAAAUAGAACUGAACUUCAGUCACUGAAAGUGAAAAAACAAAUAAAUUAUAAAUUUAAUUCGUUUCAUGCAAUUACCUCUUUCUUGUUCUCAUAGACUUGAGCACAAUCAGUAUGCCGGUAUCCAUCCUGCAUGAAAACAGAGCAAUUGUUACACAAACGACGGUGACAGUAACAAAUGGCCGUGAGAUGACAAUCGUGGGAGUGAAAAGUGAAAAUUAGAGUUUGAUUUUCAACAAUUAGGGGAAAAUGAAAAGAUAAAAUCUUAUUUAAGAAAGAGAUUUUGAUUUUGAAAGAGUAAAAACAUGAAUUUUACAAUUCUGGAAAACGAAAAAAAGCCAAAGAGAAGAGAGAGGUAGAAAAAAAAAUUAUAUGAGAAAGACAGGAGGGAAAGGCUAAAAGUGCCCUUAAAACAUUGAUCUUUAGCGGCGGCUUCAUUUUGGUCACGAAAAAACAAAAUAAAAUAGGAUAGUUAUGGCGGUACUUCAAACCCUGAAGAAAAAAAUGUUCUUAAAAAUACAUUAUUUUGUAGUGCUUACGAGAUUAGGUUUGAAAGAGGCACAAAAUUGGGCUUCAAACCCUUAAUUUUUUAGCCGACGAGAAGUUAUGGGAUUUUAGAGAAAGAAGGGAGAGAGUCUUGGGUUUUUACUUUAAACCGACUGAAGAGGACUGAUGAAGUGACGAGAACAUCAAGAGAUUUUAAAAUAAUGAAGUGACAAGUAAAUGUUAAAUAAAAAGAGACAAAUGAUAUUAUUUGUAAAGGCGAACAUGCUUUUGUCCCUAGAAUUUACAUUUUAGAGGCAAAAUUUUUAUUUGUCUCUAAGAAUACAAUGUGUUGCAGUGAGGAUUACAAAUCAAAAAGAUCAGUUUGAGCCUAAGUUUUUUUUUCUAUUUACAGAACUUAAGAGUAUCACUAUCACUCCUCUUUACUCGAAUUUUGUAGUGUGCCCCUUCCUCCUUGGAAAUAAUGACAAUAUCACCAUUACGAAGACCCUUACUUCGGACAAAUUGGAUCCAACCGGAAACAAGAACCAGUUUUGGGAUAACCCCAGGUUGUAUUUUGCAACCAAAGUUCCUUAAGAUUCCAGCAUCAUCCUCAAUCUGCAACACCAUCACAUGGCACCCUUGCGACCGAGGUAAAGCAGCUUCGCAGCCAAUUGGAAAUGAUAAUCUUCUCUCAAUGUCAGUGGGUGCGAGAACUUUUGAAAAAAUUUGCAUACCUGAAUUUGAUUUCUUUGAGCUGCUGUACCGGCCAAUUUUUACUUACAGAUUAGCGAGAGAAGAUGAGAAUUGAGCACAAACAUAUAGAGGAAGAAAAGCCUUGGAAGUUUGAAGCGCCAGCUCUGUCGAUAUCGUGAGAAUGAGACUUUGGAUGUGUCUCUUUUUUUUUAAUCUUUUCACGGAAGGUGUAUUGGUGGGCCUAUGAAAGGAAAAAUGAACUAAAGAUCCAGAGAGUACAAAAGUUUUC
rnacentral:lncRNA from 1 species